rnacentral:rRNA from 1 species
UACGGAGGGUGCAAACGUUGCUCGGAAUUAUUGGGCGUAAAGAGCUCGUAGGCGGUUCGUCGCGUCGGCUGUGAAAUCCCGAGGCUCAACCUCGGGUCUGCAGUCGAUACGGGCGGACUGGAGUUCGGCAGGGGAGACUGGAAUUCCUGGUGUAGCGGUGAAAUGCGCAGAUAUCAGGAGGAACACCGGUGGCGAAGGCGGGUCUCUGGGCCGAUACUGACGCUGAGGAGCGAAAGCGUGGGGAGCGAACAGG